UGAAGCGGGACAUUGAACUGUUCACCCGUGAGAGGGAAAUCAAGAAAAGAGAGCGAGCGGCGCGUUGAGGGAGUUUACAGAUGAGAAGACACAGAAAGACAGAAGCACAAUAUCAACAAGUAGGCCUACGCUAUAUGUAGGUGCUUUCUGUAAAUAACCGACGGUAUCAAGAGGAAGUCAAGUCCCCUGGGUUGUCGCCUAUACUCUAACUGCCAUGAUGAGACAACUCAAAAUCAAGUUUCUAAAAUCCGACACUGAGGUGGUCUUAACCAUAUGGUCUUAACCAGUCUAUGGUCUUAACCAGUCUAUGGUCUUAACCAGUCUAUGGUCUUAGCAGUCUAUGGUCUUAACCAGUCUAUGGUCUUAGCAGUCUAUGGUCUUAACCAGUCUAUGGUCUUAGCAGUCUAUGGUCUUAACCAGUCUAUGGUCUUAACCAGUCUAUGGUCUUAGCAGUCUAUGGUCUUAACCAGUCUAUGGUCUUAGCAGUCUAUGGUCUUAACCAGUCUAUGGUCUUGACCAGUCUAUGGUCUUAGCAGUCUAUGGUCUUAACCAGUCUAUGGUCUUAGCAGUCUAUGGUCUUAACCAGUCUAUGGUCUUGAAACACAGGUCUUUUAUGUUGAAAAUCACGCUGCCGUUUCCUGUCACCUGCGAUUUAUUUUGUAACUCCGGAGAACUCAAGUGAUUAAGUCUUACUACUGUUAUUAUUAUUAUUAUUAUUAUUAUUAUUAUUACACUGAAGACUUUAAGCUUUCAGUCUGAAAAUGCACUUUAAACGUGGAGGUCCCCUCACGCAGGUCCCCUCACGCAGGUCCCCUCGUGGAGGUCCCCCCACGGAGGUCCCCUCGUGGAGGUCCCCUCACGGAUCCGUUUGUCUUAAAUACUGUUUUAUACAACAGUGUUUAUGCGCCAUUUUAAGUUAAAUAUAUAUUAUUAUUAUUAAUAAAGAGUUGGUGUUAAAAGUCCCGGAAACUACCCAACUAAUAAAAGUGGUUAAAUCCAGGGUGUUUCUCAAUGUCGAGGACGCUUCCUUGGUAGGACAUGUGCUCCGAGUCGGGUCCAUCAGAGGCUAGGCAAGAAUCCUUCCUGGCAUUCGGAGAACGAAGAAUGGAACAGGCGAGCAAGUGUGCAGGUGUGCUUCAUAUGAGAGGCCCCGCCUUGCAUUUUGGAAAUUGGUCCGUGCGCAAAGCAUUGUGGGGAUUUUAAGACCGCCAAGGAUACACUGGUGCAUCCUCGAAAUUUCCCGCAAUGAAGGAUUCAGCCCUCGGUAGAAUUCCAAGCAUCCUGGACAUUAGAACAGUCCUUCGGCGAGACUCGAUGACGUAGCAUCCUUAAAAUAGUGGCUCUGAAGGAUCCUUCCUUGACAUUGAGAAACACCCUCUGUCUCAGCUCCAUCGAGGGUAUUCUCAGUUUUACAUACAAAAUAUAGUUUCUUUCUUGUAAUUUGACUUUAAUACAUUUUCAAAUAUUAAUAUCAAUACAGAAUUCUCAGAAUAUGACCCCCCCCCCUCCAGCUCUGUAUUAUUAUAAUUUUUAAAAACUAAAAUGGCUCGAAAACACUGUCGUAUUUUUAUUUGUGACUGUUUUUGGUCUGUUCUUGCUGCUUUAAUGCUGUAUUCACGUCACAUGGAUUACAAAUAAACAUACAAAUCAUUUCAGUUUUGGGAAGUUAAAUACUCGCUCAGGUGAACUUCCUGCAGCCAAAUAAAAACAAUACAAAUGUGUCCUAAACAAAGUCCUAAAGUGUGAAAUGAUUCCCACGAUGUUAUCUGCUAGCUUGGCUCUUAUUGGUUAAAAUCUUGAAUUGAAAAUAUUCUAAAAACAUUUAUCUAAUAUCUGCUCCGUAUAACAGAUUUAAUAAUUAUGAUAAAUGUCCUCGUUGUGGUUGGCCGAUACAGCUCUCCCUGUUGCUGAUUUGUUCAUAUGUAUUGUCCUCCUCUGUGAUUGGCUGAAAUGUCUCUGAUGCUGCUGAGAAGCUGAACGCUGAAAUAAAACUAAUGUUCAACGAAA